UUCCAUUUAAGAUUGUCAUAAGAUAUGAACAACUGUGGCAUUACCUUUAUUUGGAUUUGGCUUGCUUGAUGCUGGACGAUUAAUGAAGGAAGGCCUAACUGGACAAAUGUUGGUCUCCUGAGACAAUGUGUUGUUGAUAACAGAAAAGGAUUGACAAUAAGAUGUGGAUGUUCAUCUUUAAUGAACUCUAGUCACCAAGUGGAAACCAGCUAACUUUGAU
rnacentral:lncRNA from 12 species